rnacentral:rRNA from 1 species
AUUGAACGCUGGCGGUAGGCCUAACACAUGCAAGUCGAACGGCAGCACAGUAAGAGCUUGCUCUUACGGGUGGCGAGUGGCGGACGGGUGAGGAAUACAUCGGAAUCUACUUUUUCGUGGGGGAUAACGUAGGGAAACUUACGCUAAUACCGCAUACGACCUACGGGUGAAAGCAGGGGAUCUUCGGACCUUGCGCGAUUGAAUGAGCCGAUGUCGGAUUAGCUAGUUGGCGGGGUAAAGGCCCACCAAGGCGACGAUCCGUAACUGGUCUGAGAGGAUGAUCAGCCACACUGGAACUGAGACACGGUCCAGACUCCUACGGGAGGCAGCAGUGGGGAAUAUUGGACAAUGGGCGCAAGCCUGAUCCAGCCAUGCCGCGUGGGUGAAGAAGGCCUUCGGGUUGUAAAGCCCUUUUGUUGGGAAAGAAAAGCAGCAGGUUAAUACCCCGCUGUUCCGACGGUACCCAAAGAAUAAGCACCGGCUAACUUCGUG